ACAAGCUUGACGACGGGAGAAUGCAACGCGCCCAGUGUGGCAACGCAAGCGAUCCCGGAGAAGCCAGCGGGUGCCCCGGGGAGAGUUCUCUUUUCUCAGUGAAGGGCAGGGCGCCCUGGAAUGGGUUCGCUCCGAGAGAGGGGCACGUGCUCUGGAAAGCAAAA